ensembl:snRNA U2 U2 spliceosomal RNA
AUCGCUUCUCGGCCUUUUGGCUAAGAUCAAGUGUAGUAUCUGUUCUUAUCAGUUUAAUAUAAUGCACUAAGCAGUCAGCUAGGGUUCACCCCUGUGCAUUUCACCAAGAACACAGGAACACCA